rnacentral:rRNA from 1 species
ACUCCUACGGGAGGCAGCAGUGGGGAAUUUUGCGCAAUGGGGGAAACCCUGACGCAGCAACGCCGCGUGGAGGAUGAAGUCCUUCGGGACGUAAACUCCUUUCGAUCGGGACGAUAAUGACGUACCGCAGAGA